AGAUCGUGCAAAUGACACAGAGGUUGGUAAUGUCGGCUCUCUCAACAAAUGACUGACAGCCAGGACACUGAAGUACUCAGCUGCAGCCAAGACAGCCAUGGUCUCUUCAAAAUGGCUCUGCUCCUCUUGUUAGACUGCGACACCAUCCUGUCAGGGAUUCUGGGGUGACGGCAUGACCACAGGACAUCUCGGCUCGAAGGAUCGCCGGGUCAUCAUCCAAGGCUGAAAGCACAUAAUUUAACUGGUCAGUAAACAGAAAUUAAACAUUACCAAGGAACUUACUAAUUAAUUUAUGAAUGCUUGAAUUAAUUAAAGUCUUGGUCCUCUUUGUGCGAGACAGACGAUAGCUAGUAAUCAUCUGUCUCAGCAUUUUGUCUUUCUUUUUUCUUGUUGUUACAGUUUAUGGUAUCUGUCCACAUGAACAAAUACUAUAGUAUUGUAUAGAAAAUACUGUAUUGUUUUUGAGCCAUUUGUGGUAAUAAUUUCAUAAAUCUGUUGUGGUAAUACUAUAGUUGCUAUGGUAAUACAAUAGUAAAGUAGCUGUAUGGUAUGGUAAUAUAUAAUAAUAUAAACAAAUUACCCAAUACUGUAUAAAGUAUAAUACUGUACAAAGUGCUGAGUUGGACCCCCUUUUGCUUUCAAAGAUUUUGCUCCAUAUUGACAUGAUAGCAUCACACAGUUGCUGCAGAUUUGUCGGCUGCACAACCAUGAUACGAAUCUCCCUUUCCACCACAUCCCAAAGGUGCUCUAUUGGAUUAAUAUCUGGUGACUGUGGAGGCCAUUUGAGUACAGUGAACUCAUUGUCAUGUUCAAGAAACCAGUCUGAGAUGAUUUGGGCUUAAUGACAUGGCACGUUAUUCUUCUGGAAGUAGCCAUCAAAAGAUGGGGAUACUGUGGUCAUAAAGGGAUGGACAUGGUCAACAACAAUACUUAGGUAGUCUGUGGCAUUAACACAAUGCUCAAUCGAUACUAAUGGGCCCAAAGUGUGCCAAGAAAAUAA